rnacentral:rRNA from 1 species
AGGCGUGUGACUGCGUACCUUUUGUAUAAUGGGUCAGCGACUUAUAUUCUGUAGCAAGGUUAACCGAAUAGGGGAGCCGAAGGGAAACCGAGUCUUAACUGGGCGUUAAGUUGCAGGGUAUAGACCCGAAACCCGGUGAUCUAGCCAUGGGCAGGUUGAAGGUUGGGUAACACUAACUGGAGGACCGAACCGACUAAUGUUGAAAAAUUAGCGGAUGACUUGUGGCUGGGGGUGAAAGGCCAAUCAAACCGGGAGAUAGCUGGUUCUCCCCGAAAGCUAUUUAGGUAGCGCCUCGUGAAUUCAUCUCCGGGGGUAGAGCACUGUUUCGGCAAGGGGGUCAUCCCGACUUACCAACCCGAUGCAAACUGCGAAUACCGGAGAAUGUUAUCACGGGAGACACACGGCGGGUGCUAACGUCCGUCGUGAAGAGGGAAACAACCCAGACCGCCAGCUAAGGUCCCAAAGUCAUGGUUAAGUGGGAAACGAUGUGGGAAGGCCCAGACAGCCAGGAUGUUGGCUUAGAAGCAGCCAUCAUUUAAAGAAAGCGUAAUAGCUCACUGGUCGAGUCGGCCUGCGCGGAAGAUGUAACGGGGCUAAACCAUGCACCGAAGCUGCGGCAGCGACGCUGAUGCGUUGUUGGGUAGGGGAGCGUUCUGUAAGCCUGCGAAGGUGUGCUGUGAGGCAUGCUGGAGGUAUCAGAAGUGCGAAUGCUGACAUAAGUAACGAUAAAGCGGGUGAAAAGCCCGCUCGCCGGAAGACCAAGGGUUCCUGUCCAACGUUAAUCGGGGCAGGGUGAGUCGACCCCUAAGGCGAGGCCGAAAGGCGUAGUCGAUGGGAAACAGGUUAAUAUUCCUGUACUUGGUGUUACUGCGAAGGGGGGACGGAGAAGGCUAUGUUGGCCGGGCGACGGUUGUCCCGGUUUAAGCGUGUAGGCUGGU